rnacentral:rRNA from 1 species
UACGAAGGGGGCUAGCGUUGCUCGGAAUCACUGGGCGUAAAGCGCACGUAGGCGGAUUGUUAAGUCAGGGGUGAAAUCCUGGAGCUCAACUCCAGAACUGCCUUCGAUACUGGGAGUCUCGAGUUCGGGAGAGGUGAGUGGAACUGCGAGUGUAGAGGUGAAAUUCGUAGAUAUUCGCAAGAACACCAGUGGCGAAGGCGGCUCACUGGCCCGAUACUGACGCUGAAGUGCGAAAGCGUGGGGAGCAAACAGG